UGAACGCACAUUGCGCCCUUUGGCAUUCCGAAGGGCAUGCCCGUUCGAGCGUCAUUAAAUCCACUCAAGCCUGGCUUGGUAUUGGGCGCCGGGGACCCCCCGCGCCUCCAUUUCGCCGGCUGGCCGUCGUUUGACUUAGCGUUGUGACACAUGUCGCUAACGACGAAGACGGACCGCGCCGUGAGAACUCUCUUGAACGUCACCCGACGUUCAGUAAAGGUUGACCUCGGAUCGGGUAGGAAUACCCGCUGAACUUAA
rnacentral:misc_RNA from 1 species